rnacentral:rRNA from 1 species
UGGGGAAUAUUGCACAAUGGGCGAAAGCCUGAUGCAGCAACGCCGCGUGAGUGAUGACGGUCUCCGGAUUGUAAAGCUCUGUCUUUGGGGACGAUAAUGACGGUACCCAAGGAGGAAGCCACGGCUAACUACGUGCCAGCAGCCGCGGUAAUACGUAGGUGGCAAGCGUUGUCCGGAUUUACUGGGCGUAAAGGGUGCGUAGGCGGACCUUUAAGUGAGAUGUGAAAUCCCCGAGCUUAACUCGGGGGCUGCAUUUCAAACUGGAGGUCUAGAGUGCAGGAGAAGAGAGUGGAAUUCCUAGUGUAGCGGUGAAAUGCGUAGAGAUUAGGAAGAACACCAGUGGCGAAGGCGACUCUCUGGACUGUAACUGACGCUGAGGCACGAAAGCGUGGGGAGCAAACAG